rnacentral:rRNA from 1 species
CGUAUCACCCAAGACAACUUUACGGAGUUGACGAUUGACGGAGCGAAGCGACGUCAAAGCGUUCAUUAAAGUCGAGUUGGCUUAGGGAUACGUUCGUUGGGUAGGGGAGCGUUCUGUAAGCCUGUGAAGGUGUGUCGUGAGGCAUGCUGGAGGUAUCAGAAGUGCGAAUGCUGACAUAAGUAACGAUAAAGCGGGUGAAAAGCCCGCUCGCCGGAAGACCAAGGGUUCCUGUCCAACGUUAAUCGGGGCAGGGUGAGUCGACCCCUAAGGCGAGGCCGAAAGGCGUAGUCGAUGGGAAACGGGUUAAUAUUCCCGUACUUGGUGUUACUGCGAAGGGGGGACGGAGAAGGCUAUGUUGGCCGGGCGACGGUUGUCCCGGUUUAAGCGUGUAGGUGUGUGUUCCAGGUAAAUCCGGUUCACUUUAACACUGAGGCGUGACGACGAGGCACUACGGUGCUGAAGCAACAAAUGCCCUGCUUCCAGGAAAAGCCUCUAAGCAUCAGGUAACACGAAAUCGUACCCCAAACCGACACAGGUGGUCA